CGUCCGAUGGUGGUGAGGACAAUCUACCGAGAAGCCCUUAAACCUCUCCCAGGCUUGAUACAAAUUUUCUCCAUUUUUCUGCCUGAAUGACAUGAGCUCCCUUCGGAGGCG